UACGUAGGGUGCGAGCGUUAAUCGGAAUUACUGGGCGUAAAGCGUGCGCAGGUGGCUGCGCAAGUCGAGUGUGAAAUCCCCGAGCUUAACUUGGGAAUUGCGCUCGAAACUACGUGGCUCGAGUGUGGCAGAGGAAGGUGGAAUUCCACGUGUAGCGGUGAAAUGCGUAGAGAUGUGGAGGAACACCGAUGGCGAAGGCAGCCUUCUGGGCCAACACUGACGCUCAUGCACGAAAGCGUGGGGAGCAAACAGG
rnacentral:rRNA from 1 species